UAAGCAACCUGCCCCAUACCGGGGGAUAGCCUGGCGAAAGCCGGGGUAAACCCGCAUAGUCCCUUUCUGUUUCAUGACAGGCUGGGUAAACAUUUAUGGGUAUGGGAGGGGCUUGCGUCUGAUUAGUUAGUUGGCGGGGUAACGGCCCACCAAGACAGUGAUCAGUAGGGGUUCUGAGAGGAUUGGCCCCCACAUGGGUACUGAGAUACGGACCCAACUCCUACGGGAGGCAGCAGUAGGGAAUAUUGGGCAAUGGAGGCAACUCUGACCCAGCCAUGCCGCGUGCAGGAUGAAGGCGCUCAGCGUCGUAAACUGCUUUUAUCUGGGAAGAACUGUAGUCCUGCGGGGUUAUUUGACGGUACCAAAGGAAUAAGCACCGGCUAACUCCGUGCCAGCAGCCGCGGUAAUACGGAGGGUGCAAGCGUUGUCC
rnacentral:rRNA from 1 species